CACAAGCAAAAGGCUAAGACGAUUAUUACCCUCUUCGACUACUUCCAUAUUCACCGGUGCAGCGACGCCACCCUCUAGAUCCGCCAUUCUCCUACAAGGGACACACAAAAUGGUGGAUGAGCUCAAUCUCAACUGUGAUUGGCAUAGUUUGAAUAAAGUCUUCAACUUGGACCUCCCUUUUCGCGUGGCAAUUCAAAGCUCAAUCAAUGGUUUGAUAUUGAACACUCUCGCAAUCGUAUCCUCUGCAAUCCGAAUAUAUCAAGCUUCCUUGUCCUAGACAGCCUUCCACUGCGCUUACAUUGGAGUGAGCAGAGUGAGUGGCCAAUAUAAGGUGGUUAGGAUUUCCGCAGAAGGACCGCCACAAACACCGCUGGGUACAUCUUGCGGACAAUGUCAUUCUUGUGCGGAAGUCUUCAUUGGUGGUGGAGAAGUACGGGCGCUUCAGCCCCUACAAAAAUUUCUCGCCUUGAUCUUGAAACAGAGUGUUUUAGUACCUUUUCCUGUCCUCGUGCUAUCAGUAACAAAGAAAGGCACCUAUCAAGUUUAAGGGGGGCUGCCUAUGUGUAUGCGUCAAUUCGAAUCUGGGGAUUGUUAUAUGGGUGAUGAAGGAAUACGGAGAUGAGAAAUCUUGGACAAAGGAGUUUAGCAUUCUCAAAGAUAAUACUCCUAUUUGGGAUGGUUUAAAACAGCUUAACCCCAUUGAAGUUUUCAAAAAUGGUGAUAUGCUCUUAUCAUGGAGACAGGGUAGGCCGAUAUACUACUCCAGCACGACUAAAACCAUUCAAGAAGUUGAUCUACAUGACGACAUGCUCUACCAGAUAAGCCUUUACACGCCGAGCCUUCUUUCUCUAAAGACCGAAAAUGUAAUUUCGUUUUGAUUUUGACUAUGGAUUUCUUUGAAAAAACCAACUUAUAUUAUGUAUGAAAACCUAUGUAUUGAUGCAGAUGCAGAAUGGUGUAAAAACAUUUUGAUUAUUAGUAUAUCUGUAUAUUAAGUACUUGUUUUAAUAAGAAUGCCUUUUAUUUUUGUA